rnacentral:sRNA from 1 species
CUACGGGUAAGCCCACAGAGGAGGGACUGACUACGGAUGCCAUUAGUGUCUAUGAGUGGACCAGGGCAAGAAGUGGCAUCACUCCCGUGUGUCUCUGGGGCCACUCUCUGGGUACAGGAGUUGCAACAAAUGCUGCAAAAGUGCUAGAAGAAAAAGGAUGCCCAGUUGAUGCUAUUGUCUUGGAAGCUCCAUUUACCAACAUGUGGGUUGCAAGUAUCAAUUAUCCCUUGUUAAAG